UACGGAGGGUGCAAGCGUUAUUCGGAAUGACUGGGCGUAAAGAGCACGUAGGAGGCUUAUUAAGUCUGAUGUGAAAGCCCCGAACUCAAUUUGGGAAGUGCAUUGGAUACUGGUAAGCUAGAGUAUAGGAGAGGAGAGUGGAAUUCCAGGUGUAGAGGUGAAAUUCGUAGAUAUCUGGAGGAACAACGGAGGCGAAGGCGACUCUCUGGACUAUUACUGACUCUGAGGUGCGAAAGCGUGGGGAGCGAACAGG
rnacentral:rRNA from 1 species